AUGCGCCCACAGGAGCCUUUCCGUAUUUCCCCACUGCCGCAGCAGUUCCUGCUCCAGCAGGAGCCUUCAUCUUUAUUUGAAUCUGCAGCAGUGCUCGCUUCCACAAAAGCCAUUUUUUUUUUCUUUUCAGAUGCCAUAGCAAUUCCCACAGGAGUUUUCUUUUCAGAUGCUGCAGCAGUCCCCGCUCCAGUAGGAGCCUUUGUCUGUAUUUUAAUCUGCUGCAGCAGUGCUUGCUUCUGCAGAAGCUAUUUUCUCUUUUCAGAUGCCGUAGCAGUUCCCACUCCCGCAGGAGCCUUUUCCGUGUUAUCCUACUGCCGCAGCAGUAGCUGCUCCCACAGGAGCUCUCCCAUAUUUCCCCACUGGCGCAGCAGUGUCAGCUCCCGCAGGAGCCUUUUCUAUCUUCCCUACUGCCGCAAUAAUCGCAUUUCCAGCAGGAGUUGUCAUCUCUCUCUUUCAAGCGGACGCUUCCAUGGAAGUCAAAUUCUCUUCCUAGACACUGCCACAACAAUUAUAUACCAAAGGACGUCCAGCACCCAUCUAACAUUAAGCCCAGCUUUUUGGGGAGUCGUAAAUGUGCGUAUCUGGCUGCUGUCAUGUUCUAAUUGCUUUUUGGGGAGCACUUUGGGCUGGGCCAGACUCCGAGCUCAGACCCCUCUCCCCGGACGGAGGGGGGGUGCACCGGGCUCGGGAGUCUUGCCGGGCUCGGAGCUCUCUUCCCAGACAGCACGCCAAAUACGCAUAACCUUUAUUUAAUUAUAAGUAAAUGUGAACUCGUGAAAUGUAUAUCUAUCUAACCUACACUAAUGUUCAAAAUUAAAUGUUCAAAUUUGGGUCAUUGUUUACUCAUCCUCAUUUUAUGACUUUUUUGUUUGUAGACCACAAAAUAAGAUGAUGUAUGUUUAUGCUGGUGGUUUCCAUGAGCUGUGAAGCUCUACAAAUGACAAAAAAAGUCCACAUUCAGUAUAUUCCUAGUCUUUUGAAGUCAUAUUAGGAUUUAAGACUUUCGGCCUGUUCCUUGCACAAAGAUAUUAUAUGACUUCAGAGGCCAUAUGAACUACUUUUAUGAUACAUUUAAUUAUUUUUAAGGCUCAAAACCUUUGGUCACCAUUAACUUUUACUGUAGGGAAAGUGCAGCAUGAUCAUUCUUCUAAAUAGCUAGUGUUCUACAAAUGAAAGAAAGUCAUACCAUUUUGGAACAACAUGAAAGUGAGUAAAUGAUGACAGAAUAUUCAUUUUCUGAUGAGCCUUUCCUUUAAAUAAACAUACGGACAAAUAAAGAUACUGAAAUAAG
ensembl:lncRNA